AGACGAACCGUACAAACGUUAUUCGGAAUCACUGGGCUUAAAGGGUGCGUAGGCGGCGUGGCAAGUUGGGUGUGAAAUCCCUCGGCUCAACCGGGGAACUGCGCCCAAAACUGCCAUGCUAGAGGGAGACAGGGGUGAGCGGAACUUAGGGUGGAGCGGUGAAAUGCGUUGAUAUCCUAAGGAACACCGGUGGCGAAGGCGGCUCACUGGGUCUCUUCUGACGCUGAGGCACGAAAGCUAGGGGAGCGAACGGGAUUAGAAACCCCGGUAGUCC
rnacentral:rRNA from 1 species